AUGACCUGAGCCGUGAGAUCAUGACCUGAGCCGAAGCCAGCCGCUUAACCGACUGAGCCACCCAGGCGCCCCCCAGAGUGGCACAUUAAUAUCACCUGUCUAUGAGAGUCAUGUCAAUAUCUUCAUUCCAUAAGUAGGAAAACGGGCUGAGUGAAGAGAAGCAGCCCACAGGUAGUACACGGGAGAGCUGGGGUUGGCUCCAAAGCCUGUGAUCCUAGCCCCUACCUGUGUGGUAACUUCUGGAGAUAAUACAAGCAAAACCAAUUCUAACUGGUACAUGCUGGCCAAGCCUUAGUUCAUGGCAUGGGGCUGAGAGCCUUCUCCCUCAGUCUCUUGCGCCGAUUUGAGGAAAUUUCUGUGGCUUGUGCAUUGCUUGAAGGGCUCUGUGUUUGGGCUGCUGUGUUUGUAAGGCACUGGUAUGUGUACGGGUGGGAGACACAUCUUUGAUGUUGAGGAAGAGGGCACAGCACAGGAAGUGAUGCUUUUGAUUUUUUAUUCUGAGGCAGAGUGAGGCAAUAUAAAUAACCAUUCUGUGGACGUGGCUGAGCCGUGUUUCCCAGCAAGGUACCUGUUAGAACAAAGAAGUAGCCUCUGCGCAUGUGCAGCGCCCUGCAGGGAAGUGAUUCGCUGUGACAUAUAUUGCUCUUCAAUGGGAUUUAUUGUCCUGGUUUUUCCAUGUAACUCCUCCCUGCCUGCCAGAAGGCAGAUGAAGACUUGCUCUUUCUCAUCAGACUGUCACCCGCCGAGUGGCAUCGAGGGGCAGUGCUGUGAUCCUGGCGAUUUCUUUGGCCUUUGCACUGUUCGCUUGAAAAAUUCUAGUAACAUGUCUUUUACAGUCAUGGCUCUCAGUGCAGUCAGGGAGUUACACCAGGGAACAUGGAGUGAGGAGGGGUGAGUUAUCACAGAGAUGUUCUAGUGGGUUGGCUUGGGUGAGAAUUAUUGGAUCGAUUCCCAGAUCUGCUGUUUUAUUCCUGUGACUCAGCUAGAGAUACUUCAGUGAUGUGCGCCUCUGUGAAAUGGGGGAUAAUAAAUAUAUACAGUUGAUAUGAGGACUAGAAAUGAGAAUGCAGCGCCCAGCAGAGGGCCUGGUACAAGCAAUUAUUAAAUGGUAAUAGUUAGAUCUAGACAGAUUAAAUACUGAGUUAUACCAUCUAUUUUCUGUGUAUCUUUGUGUAAGUUAUUCUGCAUCUCAGUUUAGUAUGAGGAUUAGAACAAUACCCAUUGUUGUGCAGUGAAUUGUAUCCCCCUCCCUUCCCCCCACCCCCGGCAAAAAACCAUGUUGACGUCAGUUCUCAGUCCAGUACCUGUGAAUGUUAUCUUAUUUGGAAAUAGGUCUUUGGCAAUGUGAUUAAGAUGAGGUCAACCCAGAUUAGGGUGGACCCUCAUCUAAUAACUGGCGUUCUUCUAAGAAAAAGGAAGUUUGGGCAGAGAUGGAGACACAGAAAUCACAGGGAGAAUGUCACAUGACGGAAACACAGGGCCACCUGUCUGUAAGCCAAGGAGCCCCAAGCAUUGCUGGUGACCGGCAGACAUGAGCAGGGAGGCAUGGAGCAUUCUCCUUCGCAGCCUCACAAAGGAACCAGCCCACCCCACACCUUGACUCUGAACUUCUGGCCUCCAGAACUGUGAGAGAAUAAACGUCUGUUGUUUUAACCCACUCCAUUUACAGUCAUUGGUUAUCGCUGCCCUAGGAAGCCAGUGCAUAGGAGGGCGAAAUGGGGAUUAAGUGGCAUGCUUCCUGGUGCCAUCCAGUUCUGGAUGUCUGACCUUCAGGCAUCAAGACACAAAUAACGAACUCUGAAGACAACAAUCGCAUGGAAACGGUACCAUCUAUAUAGGUCAGUGGGUGUCUGGGGACAGAGAUCCCCAAACAGAGCAAUGGCAAAUGAGCACUAGCUCCGCCUCCUCUGUCCACUCUGGAGCUUUGGAGAGAAUGGCCACCCUUUGCAAGGUGCUGGUCUGAAUCAUUGUGGGGUGGGUGAUGGACAGUGGCUAUUACCUCACGUUAAAAAACAAAUGAAUCCAUCUUGAUUUUCAGAUUUAACAUAAAUUGGAAUAUACCUUCAGGCAAAUCUCGAGUGAGGCUUUGAUUAUGAGCCCCUCCUUUUCCCCCUUGCCUGCACUGGGCUGGUGGGGGAUUGGAGCUCACUGCUGGCCACACUCAUGGACAUCUGCGGAUAACGGGACAGGCUCUAGCAGCCCUGCCCCAUCCCAGGUCCCCGUGGAGGACCUCAGAGGAUGAGAGAGACUGGGACAUAACAGGUAUUAUGAUGUCAUAAGGAAGAACUUUGUGCACAAAGCAGCCCUUUGCCCAAGAUGGUAAGAGCGUCAGUCUAGAACAGGGCUCCAACUUCAACUCAAGCCUGAGGCAUCUCUGGGAUAUCCACCAGGCAGUGGCGAAGAUCCAGGUUGCUGUGGGGAAAGAUCCAUUGCAAAGGCUGUGAAGGAGAUAAGUGGAACAUUUGUCAAAGUAUGAACUGGAGCUAGAGGCUGAGGACAUGCUGAAGAGGAAGUUAGCGCACAGCUCACCUUCAGAAGACUGGCCCAAGGGAAAGGUCCUGAUUGUCCUCUCAUAACCCAGCCUUCCCUGACUAAUACAAGAAAUCCUGAUGCCUCUUGUCAAGUGGAUCAGCAGGUGGGGGACAGUUUCAUCACACUGAUGGCAAAAGCUAUUCUGCUACCUCUAAGUCGCCCACUAGCAUCUAGUAUCCCUUAUAUUAAAACAUAAAUGAAUAAACAGCAGGGAAAAAUUCUUUGACCUCACAUUCAUCUCCAUUUUCACUUCUAUGUUCAUUUUCACAGCACCAUUUUUUUAUAGUUUAUUGUCAAGUUGGUUUUC